UACGUAGGGACCAAGCGUUGUUCGGAUUUACUGGGCGUAAAGGGCGCGUAGGCGGCAAUUCAAGUCAUCUGUGAAAUCUCCGGGCUUAACUCGGAAUGGUCAGGUGAUACUGCUUUGCUAGAGUGCAGAAGGGGCAAUCGGAAUUCUUGGUGUAGCGGUGAAAUGCGUAGAUAUCAAGAGGAACACCUGAGGUGAAGACGGGUUGCUGGGCUGACACUGACGCUGAGGCGCGAAAGCUAGGGGAGCAACGGG
rnacentral:rRNA from 1 species